GGUUGUGGCUCAGUGGCAGAGUACUUGCCUAGCAUAUGUAAGGCACUGGGUUUGAUCCCCAGCACCA
rnacentral:tRNA from 1 species